GACUACCCGGGUAUCUAAGCCUGUUUGCUCCCCACGCUUUCGUGCCUGAGCGUCAAUCUCAGCCCAGGGGGCUGCCUUCGCCAUCGGUGUUCCUCCACAUCUCUACGCAUUUCACUGCUACACGUGGAAUUCCACCCCCCUCUGCCAGAUUCUAGUCCGAGAGUUUCAACCGCCAUUCCCAGGUUAAGCCCGGGGCUUUCACAGCUGACUUCUCGAACCGCCUGCGCACGCUUUACGCCCAGUAAUUCCGAUUAACGCUCGCACCCUACGUAUUACCGCGGCUGCUGGCACGUAGUUAGCCGGUGCUUAUUCAUCCGGUACCGUCCGUCAUAAAGGGUAUUAGCCUCUACUCCUUCUUCCCAAAUAAAAGCGGUUUACAACCCGAAGGCCUUCUUCCCGCACGCGGCAUGGCUGGAUCAGGCUUGCGCCCAUUGUCCAAAAUUCCCCACUGCAGCCACCCGUAGG
rnacentral:rRNA from 1 species